rnacentral:misc_RNA from 1 species
GUCGUUUGUACUCUCAAGCUCUGCUUGGUGUUGGGUGUUUGUCUUUGCUUUAUGCUCAGACUCGCCUUAAAUGUAUUGGCAGCCGAUAUAUUGGUUUGAAGCGCAGCACAAUUUGCGAUUUAGGCUUUUAAUAUUAGCAUCCAUCAAGUAUAAUUAACACUUUUGACCUCGGAUCAGGUAGGGAUACCCGCUGAACUUAG